UCCGGUAUAGUGUAGGGGUUAACAUAUCUCGCUUUCACCGAGAAGCCCCGGGUUCGAUUCCCGGUACCGGAA